GGGGACGAUGAUGACGGUACCCGUAGAAGAAGCCCCGGCUAAUUACGUGCCAGCAGCCGCGGUAAUACGUAGGUGGCAAGCGUGUUCCGGAUUUAUUGGGCGUAAAGCGAGCGCAGGCGGUUUUUUAGGUCUGAUGUGAAAGCCUUCGGCUUAACCGGAGAAGUGCAUCGGAAACCGGGAGACUUGAGUGCAGAAGAGGACAGUGGAACUCCAUGUGUAGCGGUGAAAUGCGUAGAUAUAUGGAAGAACACCAGUGGCGAAGGCGGCUGUCUGGUCUGCAACUGACGCUGAGGCUCGAAAGCAUGGGUAGCGAACAGGAUUAGAUACCCUGGUAGUCCAUGCCGUAAACGAUGAGUGCUAAGUGUUGGAGGGUUUCCGCCCUUCAGUGCUGCAGCUAACGCAUUAAGCACUCCGCCUGGGGAGUACGACCGCAAGGUUGAAACUCAAAGGAAUUGACGGGGGCCCGCACAAGCGGUGGAGCAUGUGGUUUAAUUCGAAGCAACGCGAAGAACCUUACCAGGUCUUGACAUCUUCUGCCAAGCUGAGAGAUCAGCCGUUCCCUUCGGGGACAGAAUGACAGGUGGUGCAUGGUUGUCGUCAGCUCGUGUCGUGAGAUGUUGGGUUAAGUCCCGCAACGAGCGCAACCCUUAUGAUUAGUUGCCAGCAUUCAGUUGGGCACUCUAGUCAGACUGCCGGUGAUAAACCGGAGGAAGGCGGGGAUGACGUCAAAUCACCAUGCCCCUAAUGACCUGGGCUACACACGUGCUACAAUGGGUGGUACAACGAGCAGCGAGACCGCGAGGUCAAGCGAAUCUCUAAAAACCAUCCUCAGUUCGGAUUGUAGGCUGCAACUCGCCUACAUGAAGCUGGAAUCGCUAGUAAUCGCGGAUCAGCACGCCGCGGUGAAUACGUUCCCGGGCCUUGUACACACCGCCCGUCACACCAUGAGAGUUUGUAACACCCAAAGCCGGUAGGACAACCGCAAGGAGUCAGCCGUCUAAGGUGGGACAAAUGAUUAGGGUGAAGUCGUAACAAGGUAGCCGUAGGAGAACCUGCGGCUGGAUCACCUCCUUUCUA
rnacentral:rRNA from 1 species